AUGUCCAUAUUUGUUGGGCCGGAACUCUCCUUAGGCCAGCCAACCCACAAGGCGUUUGGUCACUGACAUGUGGGCCAGCCAGACUCAUCCGCCUCGUUACACGCCUAGCGAUCCAAAAAUCCAGGGGCUCAUGUCGUAAUUACGAAUCAACCAGAGGGACCAGUUUGAAAAAAUCUCCUGCUCUACUGCAUCUGAGCCGCACGAUACGAUCGUACGGCUCAGGGAGACCACAGCCAGGGGGGGGCAGCUGACAUGUGGGGCCGGCCGACCUCUGCGUUGGUGUCGCAUUUCACUUCCACGCUUCUCUCCGGCCACCGGCGGCGACACCCGGAGGCCCCCGCCGGCGGCGGAACGCCGGCGAGCCGCGACCAAGGCUGGGCCUGCAUGCGCGACUACACGGGCUAUUUGAGACAACACCUUGCACGGAAGCUGCUCGAUUCAAUGUCCCUGAUAGAGCAAGUUCUUCCAGCGACAGGGAUGACCACCUCUAUCAAUGAGGAGAAUGCGCCUGACAGGAUUAGCAGACUACCAGACGGGCUGCUACGCUUUGUCAUGCUCUAUUUAACCGCGCAAGAGGCAGUGCAGACAUGCGUGCUAUCGCGGAGGUGGCAGAAUGUCUGGUCAUCUACAAAGUGGCUCAAAGCUGAUGCAGCAAAGUUCAGCAGCAUGAAAAGUUUCAAGAAGUUUGUUGACAAUUUGCUCCCGUACCGCAGACCUGUGCCACUGGAUGCACUUUUUAUUCUUGCCACCUGCAACCACUCUGAUGAUUCCCUUGAUUAUUCUGACAUCCAUCCAUGGAUUCGUCAUGCCCUUAGGAGCAAUGCCUGGGCUCUUGGCAUUAUGGAGCAUUGUGGCACCAAUCUUCUUUCAAUUGAUGGUUAUCCCUUUCCGUUCACCUCGGUCUACUUGUCUAUCUUGCACCUUUGCCAUUUCAUUAUAGAUGACAGUUUUGUCAAGAAGCUCUCUUCUUGUUGCCCGGUCUUAGAGGAUCUGGAGUUGAAAAACUGUGCCAUCAUUGUCACCAUGUUUUCCUCCACCACAUUGAAGAAUUUGCUCAUUAACUCUACAGAGACCACAGAGCAUUUCCCCCCCAAAAUUUGAGCAUCUUAUGAUAGAUAUGCCAAACCUAGUUACCCUGCAUCUAGAUGAGAUUCCAAACAGAAAUAUUCAGCUCGUGGACGUGUCAUCAGUGAAAAGGGCCACAUUUUACUUUUUUGAACUCUCUUUCCAAAAUUCUGCUGUUGACUGCAAUAUUAUCCCUGCUCUUUCCAAUGUCACAAGCUUGGAAUUGGUUUCUCCAACUGCCUAUGAAGAUGUGGUGCCAAAUGUGUUAAUCCGUAGUUUUCCAAGGUGUAAGACAUUCAGCAACCUGAAAUAUUUGAAGCUAGGUGAGUGGUUUUUGAGAGAUGGUUGCUAUCCUCUACUUUUCUUGCUUCGGCGCUCACCUAACAUAGAAAAACUUCACCUGCAACUUAACAAGUAUGGAUCUGAUGACUAUGAGGAUUACCCAGAUGCUGCUGCAGCAAUUGAUCCUACUUGCAGAGAAAUAGAAGAAAUGUUCAAUUGUGUAAAACUCAGGAAGAUCACAAUAUUCUACCCACAGGGUGAUGAAAGAGUGCACAUCAUUGUGAGGAUCUUGAUUGCGAAUAUUAGCCCUCUCCCUGCAAUUAAAAUCAAGCCCACCCCGGUUUAGCAUGGUGGUCUGGAUUUUGGUGGCUGAGGCCUGAGGUGUCUAUCUGGCUGGGUUAGAGAUUCCAGUGCCUGGAUGUUGUUGGAAGAUUUGUUCAACUGUUCUUUCUCCUUUUGGUGACGAUACUUGUGACUUGUCUAUUGCAACUGCGUACUUGAUCUGUAAAAGUUCGAUUUAAUUCAGCGUUUGGCGAAUUUGGAUGCACUUGUGCGUCUUGAUUAAUUCCUGGCAAGGUUUGGGAGGUUUUAUUAGGGGUGCUGUAUGAGAAGCCCCCAAAACAAUGGAAUCAUCUGGCCAUGAAGGCCAUGGCCCUGUUGUUUCAUUGGAGCUUCACAUGGU